CAGGCCUAACACAUGCAAGUCGAACGAGAAAGUGGAGCAAUCCAUGAGUAAAGUGGCGACCGGGUGAGUAACACGUGACUAACCUACCUUCGAGUGGGGGAUAACCUCGGGAAACCGAGGCUAAUACCGCAUAACAUCGCAAGAUCAAAGCAGCAAUGCGCUGGAAGAGGGGGUCGCGGCUGAUUAGCCAGUUGGCGGGGUAACGGCCCACCAAAGCGAAGAUCGGUAGCCGGCCUGAGAGGGCGCACGGCCACACUGGAACUGAAACACGGUCCAGACUCCUACGGGAGGCAGCAGUGGGGAAUUUUGCGCAAUGGGGGAAACCCUGACGCAGCAACGCCGCGUGGAGGAUGAAGUCCCUUGGGACGUAAACUCCUUUCGACCGGGACGAUUAUGACGGUACCGGUGGAAGAAGCCCCGGCUAACUUCGUGCCAGCAGCCGCGGUAAUACA
rnacentral:rRNA from 1 species